rnacentral:siRNA from 1 species
CAGUAUUAAAUAUUAAUGGGAUA